rnacentral:rRNA from 1 species
CUCACCCUACGGGGCGCAGCAGCGAGGAAUAUUGGUCAAUGGGCGGGAGCCUGAACCAGCCAAGUCGCGUGAGGGACGACGGUGCUAUGGAUUGUAAACCUCUUUUGUCGGGGAACAAAGGCGUCCACGGGUGGGCGGAUGAGUGUACCCGAAGAAAAAGCAUCGGCUAACUCCGUGCCAGCAGCCGCGGUAAUACGGAGGAUGCGAGCGUUAUCCGGAUUUAUUGGGUUUAAAGGGUGCGUAGGCGGACAGUCAAGUCAGCGGUAAAAAUGCGGCGCUCAACGCCGUACAGCCGUUGAAACUGG